GAGGGAGAAGGUGAAAUGACGCCAGCGUGAGGUCCUUCUUCCACCUUUUGGAGGCAGACUGAAAUGGCAUCCAACAGUUUCUGUGGUUUUUCAGCCGAACGACAUCAACGACGUGACGUCGUUGUCGGAUUACCGUCAGAUUCUGACUUUGUGUUUUCUUAUUUUAUGCUCUUAAAUUGAAUUGCCUGCCAUCAGACCAGGUGGACUCAUCUGUCAUUAAUGAGCGUGCUCGUAUUUGAUUGGCCAACGCAACGUCUUGCUCAUCAGGUUGAGUCACCGUGACAUCAUCGUGUUUGUGCGUUGUUUGUUCUGCUUUGUGAUGCUUAUGAACUUAUUAAUUCCUCAAGUCUGAUUUCUGGCUGAAGCAGCAAAGCGAUCAAUAACUGAUACUGUCUGAGCCACUCUGACGUGAUGGAUGUCUAAAUAUCCUCUCAGACUGACCAAAUUCCUCUCUCGUCAGGGUUGUGAUCACCUAACAAACCGCAGCUAAUUACAAAUGAACUUUCAGAGGAGGCGUGUGACUCGAGCGACCUCCUCUCAAACUGCUUCAUGAACGUAAUCAGACGCAUCAAUCACAGCGAGCCAGCGAGGCCCGUGUUAAUCCUCUGUGUUCACUUUGGAGUUAAAUGGCCCUAAAGGCUAAUGAAAGAGACGCUGGGCUUCGCUCCUGCAGCCUGAGGAAUGAGUCUGUCACUGCUCAGUCAGUGUCGAGCAGAUCGAGUCAUCAUUCAGCUCAAAGUCAGAUCGCACCUUCAUGAAAAGUUAGCAGGCUGGAAACAAUAACUUCUGCCGAUUUAAACGGCACGGCGGCGUCCCGGUGAUCGGCAGUGGGCUCCUCUGACUGGCCGUGGACGUGGGCGUGGCUCAGGUGUGACGACGGCGAGAAGCGACUGCCUGAACGAUGUUGGCGUCAUCAGUUGUGUUCCAGCCGGACAGUAAAGAGCAGCACUGAAGGUUUUUCUCCGUGAAGCGGAUGUUUUCGCUCUUCUCAGCUGGCUUUGCUUCCUGUGUGUCACUGAUCUGAUUGGUUGACGUUAUCCUGCGAUGCACACAUGGUUCGUCCUGUCUCCGGGGUUUCCUGCAGCUCCUCCUGCAGGUUGGCUUCAUUAGGUUGAUCUAAGAGAGCUGGGACAAGUUGGGAAGAUGGAGACGUCUCCUUUUCACCUGAAAUCCUGUCACCAAGCAGCAGCAUCAGUGUCUGAAUCUUCACACGCCGUCGUCUCAGUCUGAGUUAAACUACAGAAACUCUGAGCGACGUCUGGAUGGAAUCCUGCUCUUUAUUUAAAUUCUGAAUCUAAUGGACAGUCAGAGCGCGAUGAUGGCGGCGGCGGAGGCCUCAGCCACGCCUGUCGUGUUGAGCGAGUGCUCUCAUUGAACUGAGGGCCGCAGCAGACACGUCAUCACACGUGGACCAUCUGUCUUCAUCCAAAGCGGCGCAGAGCGAGACGCUGAACGCCUGCCGAGACUCCAGCACAUCCGAGUAACAGGAAGCGUCUGAUUGGCCGGACAGUCACGGGAGACUGCGGGGAAACUGCAACAGAACAACACCUGCAAUGCAGCAACCUGAUGUGCGUGGAAAUCUGAGUGGAUCUGCAGUUAUUUCUUACUGCUGUAAGUUCUGGAGAUGAUUAGCUGCAGUACCACAGGUGUCCACUAGGAUGACCUGACUGUGACACACAGUCUCAGCUCAGUCAAACAUUUAGCUCAUUACAGACAGUGAGACUGUGUGUGUGUGUGUG